AUGCAUGGGAGUCUUGGGAGUAGCAUCCUCCUCACCGCACGGGCCCCCUCCUCGCUGCACGGGCCUCCUCCUUGCCGCAGUGACGCCCCUCGCCGGAGUAGCGCCGGCCAAGCCCAUCGGCCACCAGGUGCGUCCUUGGAUCAGUUUCCCACAGGCAGCAUGUUGUUCCUACUCCUCUACUUACUACAGCAGCACAAUGUUCUUCUGUAUUGCAAUAGAGUAGGAGUAUUUGCUAGAGUAGCUAGGACGUACAACUAUGGUUAA
rnacentral:rRNA from 1 species